rnacentral:hammerhead_ribozyme from 1 species
AUUCAGCUGACGAGUCCCGAAUAGGACAAAACCUGCGUCCUGAAA